AUUGAACGCUGGCGGCAGGCCUAACACAUGCAAGUCGAGCGGUUGACGGGAGCUUGCUCCCUGAUUCAGCGGCGGACGGGUGAGUAAUGCCUAGGAAUCUGCCUAUUAGUGGGGGACAACGUUUCGAAAGGAACGCUAAUACCGCAUACGUCCUACGGGAGAAAGCAGGGGACCUUCGGGCCUUGCGCUAAUAGAUGAGCCUAGGUCGGAUUAGCUAGUUGGUGAGGUAAUGGCUCACCAAGGCUACGAUCCGUAACUGGUCUGAGAGGAUGAUGAGUCACACUGUAACUGAGACACGGUCCAGACUCGUACGGGAGGCAGCAGUGGGGAAUAUUGGACAAUGGGCGAAAGCCUGAUCCAGCCAUGCCGCGUGUGUGAAGAAGGUCUUCGGAUUGUAAAGCACUUUAAGUUGGGAGGAAGGGCGUUUGGCUAAUAUCCAGGCGUUUUGACGUUCCCAACAGAAUAAGCACCGGCUAACUUCGUGCCAGCCGCCGCCGUAACAC
rnacentral:rRNA from 1 species